rnacentral:tRNA from 1 species
UGGCUCAGUUGAAAGAGCAUGAGACUCUUGAUCUUGAGAUUGUGAGUUUGAGUCCCAC